rnacentral:rRNA from 1 species
AUUGAACGCUGGCGGCAUGCUUUACACAUGCAAGUCGAACGGUAACAGGCCGCAAGGUGCUGACGAGUGGCGAACGGGUGAGUAAUGCAUCGGAACGUGCCCAGUCGUGGGGGAUAGCUACUCGAAAGAGUAGCUAAUACCGCAUACGAUCUAUGGAUGAAAGCGGGGGACCGUAAGGCCUCGCGCGAUUGGAGCGGCCGAUGUCAGAUUAGGUAGUUGGUGGGGUAAAGGCUCACCAAGCCAACGAUCUGUAGCUGGUCUGAGAGGACAACCAGCCACACUGGGACUGAGACACGGCCCAGACUCCUACGGGAGGCAGCAGUGGGGAAUUUUGGACAAUGGGCGCAAGCCUGAUCCAGCAAUGCCGCGUGCAGGAAGAAGGCCUUCGGGUUGUAAACUGCUUUUGUACGGAACGAAACGGCUCUGGUUAAUACCCGGGGCUAAUGACGGUACCGUAAGAAUAAGCACCGGCUAACUACGUG